ensembl:snoRNA SNORA73 Small nucleolar RNA SNORA73 family
CCAACAUGGAUAUCCCAGGAGGUCACUUUCCCUGAGCUCUGUCCUAGUGGUAUAGGGGAGCAUAGGGCUCCACCCCAUGAUGUAUAGUCCUUUUCCACAAUGUUAGAGAUGAAGCUGGGCUUCGAGUCUUUGUCUACCUAUUCCUACGACUUCUCAGAGUCCUGUGGACAAUGACUGGGGAGACAAACCAUUCAGGAAACAGCC